CGGUGCGUGGCUCAGCUUGGUAGAGCGCGUCGUUCGGGACGACGAAGUCGCAGGUUCAAAUCCUGUCGCACCGA
rnacentral:tRNA from 1 species